GAGAGAGAGAGAGAGAGAGGCCAGGAAAUCGGAGAGGGAGGGGGGGAAAACAACAACCUACCCCUCACUGUGAGACGAGUCGCUAAGAAAUAGAACCACGUUCUUUAAAUCAAAUGCACCUCUUCGGCAAAGACCCAUGGACAUCACCUCACACUGUGAGAUUUAUGCCUAGCUCCUUAGGGAGUGAAUACUAACCCUCCCAGGCCAGCGCCACUUUACCCUGACCCACAGUCUGUAUGUAGCUGCCUGGGCUCUAACCCUUCUCUACCAGCCUUGGACACUCAGUAAACAGAGAGAGUUUCACAGACUGGCUGUACCAUGGAGAGACUGAUCCUCUACCUGCUGAUGCUAAGUAUAUCAGUAAGGGCGCAGGUGUGCCCCAAGCGGUGCAUGUGCCAGAACCUCUCCCCAUCCCUCGCCAUCCUCUGUGCCCGGACUGGGCUUCUCUUUGUGCCUACGGUCAUCGACAGACGGACAGUGGAGCUGAGACUGACAGACAACUUUAUAACGGUGAUCCGGAGGAAUGACUUUGCCAACAUGACCAGCCUCCUGCACUUGACACUGUCCAGGAAUACCAUUAGCCUAAUCACACCUUAUACCUUCUCCGACCUAAAAGGGCUUCGGGCUCUCCACUUGGACAGCAACCGGAUAACCGUUGUUGGAGACGACCACUUCCGAGGGCUGACCAAUUUGAGGCACCUGAUCCUCAGCAACAACCAGCUGGUUGACAUCUCGCCCAACGCCUUUGAUGAUUUCCUUGGUACUUUAGAAGACCUGGACCUUUCCUACAACAAUUUGGUCCACAUCCCUUGGGAGACCAUUGGAAGGCUUAACAAUGUCAACACCCUAAACAUGGAUCACAAUUUGAUAGACUAUGUGCCCGAGGGGAUCUUCGCCAACUUGCACAAGCUCGCCCGGUUGGAUAUGACCUCCAACAAACUCAAGAAAAUCCCACCAGAUCCUUUAUUCCUGAGGAUCCCUGUCUAUGCCAAAUCAAAAGGUUCUCCUCUAACGUCUUUGGUUCUCAGUUUUGGUGGGAACCCGCUGCACUGCAACUGUGAGCUCCUUUGGCUCCGACGCCUAACCAGGGAGGACGAUUUGGAGACGUGUGCCUCCCCUCCCGAUCUGAUUGCUAAAUACUUCUGGACCAUCCCCGAAGAGGAGUUCAUUUGUGACCCUCCGGUGAUCACAAGGAAGUCCCCUAAAACCUUUGCCAUGGAAGGGCAGGCUAUCAGCUUGAAAUGCAAAGCCAAUGGUGACCCCGAUCCCUCCAUCCACUGGGUGUCCCCUGAAGGUAAACUUAUUUCUAAUACCUCCCGGACAGUUUCCUAUGAUAACGGGAGUUUGGACAUAAAUAUCGCCACUGUGAAGGACACUGGAGUUUUCACCUGCAUUGCUUCCAAUGCUGCUGGGGAAUCGACAGGCCCCGUGGAGCUAGUUGUGAACCCUCUUCCUCAUCUAGCCAAUAGUACUAGCCGGGUUCGGGAGACAGAACCGGGGCCUUCUGAUAUUCUCACCUCAGCCAAGUCCACCUCCCCCUCCAGCAAUGAUACGAAGGGUCAGCAGGGACGGAAGGUAGUGCUGGUGGAACUUACCACCAACUCAGCACUCAUCAAAUGGCCCUCACAGCGCCAGGUCCCAGGGAUACGGAUGUACCAGGUUCAGUACAACAGCUCCACGGACGAUACCCUUGUCUACAGAAUGAUCCCUUCUACAAGCAAAGAUUUCCUAGUGAAGGACCUCGUCUCGGGACGAGAGUACGAAUUGUGUGUGUUGGCAGUCUACGAGGACGGGAUAACGACACUGACAGCCACGCGAGUUGUAGGCUGCCUGCAGUUCACCACCGAACAGGAGUACAGCCAUUGCCAGUCCAUGCACACUCAGUUUCUAGGUGGGACCAUGAUUAUCAUCAUUGGAGGCAUCAUAGUGGCUUCAGUCCUGGUCUUCAUCAUCAUUCUAAUGAUCCGAUACAAGGUGUACAGCAACAAUGGGGAACCCAAGAAAUCUGGAGUCAGUAACGUCUGCUCCCAGACCAAUGGAGGCCAUGCAGGGCAGGUCACCAGGUCUACCUCCAAAGGAACAGAGAGCCAGGAUGAGCAAGUCCAGGCUCCCUCUGAAAGCAUCGGCGGGGGAGUUGGAGGAUGUGCCAGCGGUUCCAUGGUGCGGGACUCGAAUACCAUGGCCCUGGUAGUGGAAUGCGAAAAGGUCACCCAAAUCUCAGAAAUGACCGCUGAGGACAUAAUAGUGCCUGUGCAGAGGCGAAAAUCGAGGACCAGUGCAGAGCUGGUUCGCCAGACCUCUUUGUCUUCAAAGGAAUUGAGGGGUACCAGCGAAGGAUCAGGAGAUCAGUUCGGGGAAGAAAAGAAGAGUCCUCGGGACUGGAGUGAUUUUAAAAUUUGAUGACUACUUCUGCAACACCAGGGAAACAGCCAUCAAUCUAAAGAAACAUUCCAAGUCGUGUUGUACUACUGGAACUGGCAAGCUGACUCGUAGGGAACGUUUUUUGUUCCUCCAGCUGGACUUUCCCUCCCUUUUUCCGUUUCCGAGAGUUUUCCCACCCUUGACUGAGAACCUCUUACACAACUGCUUUCGCACUGAACACAUCUGUUUUCAUCACUGACUUUUCAAAACCAACAGGUUUUAUAUAUAUCGCUACAUAUGGAUCAGUCUGCUUCCACACUGCACGAUGGAGGAAGUUACUGCAGCCGGUAUGCUUCUUGUAUCAUGAAAAAACUGAAAACGUGGGUGCCAAAUCUCUCCAAACACAAAGCAAAAACGGACAUUAUUGCCACUGCAUCACUCUGUUAUCUUGACUCAUGAAGAACUGAUUAAAAGUGUGGACCAAUUCCCACUGCACCCAGACUAGAGUGUUCAGUAACCACUCCCAUUCCAUCUUACUUUUCCCCAAGUUAUGAUUUUUUGUAUCUGUACAUAGCUGUGUUUCAAAUCUUAUAGUUUU